UCUUUGUUAUUACUAUCUCUUAGACAUAACACAUCAAAAUUAACUCUUCAUCCACCUUCUAUGUUUGAACUUAUUACAUAAGCUUCAUCACUCCUCAAGAAUCCAAUAUGUCUAGAAUUAAUUUGAGUUAACCUUCGAGUUACCUUACAAUCAUUUAGACAACUUCCAAACCAACUUUUCUUUGCAAAGAAAUCAAAAUCAGCAAAGUUAUCAUGUUCUUUAUCCAUAUAGAUUUAGCAUUCCAAUAUCAUCAAAUAUACCUAACAUAAUAUAUCAAUACCUCCCACUUCAUUCUAAGGUCAGCACUUCUCGUACUCAGAUCAACCUUGCUAAUUGAAAUCUAAGAUAUAACUCGUCAAUUCUAUUAUAGACAUCAUAUGCCACUUAUGCAUAAAUUUCAUCAUAAUACCUAUUGAUUCGAAAUCAAAUUAUUGAAUCAUUUCUUUUAUAUCUAUCAUGUUCCUCAUGAUCUUAGCCUCAAGUUCACAUAUCAUUAAAGUCACAAUCUCGAAUAAUGAUAAUCUUAAGCUCAAAUACCACUUAAGUCAUAUUCUCUAGUGAUCAUAACCUAAACUUUAUAUCAUUCUAUCACGUCCUUAAUGAUCAUAAUCUUAAGCUCUGAUAUUAUCCAUUAUACUUC
rnacentral:lncRNA from 1 species